rnacentral:rRNA from 1 species
AUUGAACGCUGGCGGCAGGCCUAACACAUGCAAGUCGAACGAGUGGCGAACGGGUGAGUCACACGCGGGUGAUCUUCCUUGCAAUCUGGGAUAAGCUUGGGAAACUGGGUCUAAUACCGGAUAGUGCAAGGUGGGUUCGCGGCCUAUCAGCUUGUUGGGGUGGUGAUGGCUACCACGGCGCGACGGGUAGACGGCCUGAGAGGGUGUACGGCCACAUUGGGACUGAGAUACGGCCCCGACUCCUACGGUAGGCAGCAGGGGGGAAGAUUGCACAAUGGGUGGAAGCCUGAUGCAGCGAGGCCGCGUGGGGGAUGAGGGCCUUCGGGUUGUAAACUACUUGCGACAGGGACGCGGUACCUGUAUAAGAAGCACCGGCUAACUACGUGCCAGCAGCCGCGGUAAUAC